CUUGGAGACAGAUACCGUACAACAUCAGAGAGCAAAUGUGGAAUCAAUUUAUGGUAAAAAUUGAUUACAUUUAUUUAAUAAUUAUCGUCUUCAUCUAUUGUUACUUUUUUUAUAUUGCAAACAAAGUGUACAUGGCAUCCUCAGCAUCAAAAUGAAAUAAAUGAUAUUUUCGAGAAGAAGGCUGCUAAUUGGAUUAAAGAUACUAUGUUCGCUGCUCGAAAUGCUGGUAAAAUGCCAGGGUGGUUAAGAGAAGAUAUUUGGGAUAAACUUCUUGCGAAAUGAAAUACCGAUGAAUGGACGAAGAAGAGUAAAAAAAUAAAGGCAAACCGUGCCUUCAGUAAAGGUGGCUCGUUGCACACAGGAGGAAAAGGAAAGAGGGUGAGAUAUGAGUCAUACUAAGGUCUUCGAGGAGAUGCCUAAGAAAAAGAAGAAGGACGGUACAAGAGAACACUAGGUGGAGACGCGUGCGUCAGAUACAUAUGAAGAUUAUCAUAAAAGGGUGGAAGAAUGGCAAUAAACUCAGCCUCCUUCAACUCAACCAACACCUGAUGAUUUGGCUUCAUUUUGGACAGAGGCAGCAGGUAGAGUAAACAAAGGCAAAGUCUACGGACUUGGAGUACGUCGACCUAUAGGUCAUCCAAAUCCACUCUUACCCAAUUUUUCUUCUUCUCAAAAUCAAGAACAUAUGAAAGAUAUGAGAAAAGAAAUUCUUGAUUUGAAGCAACAAUUGGACUCACAAUUCGGAACAUUUGUUAAGAUGCAAAAAUUCAUGAGAAAAUAUGGGCAAGAUCUAUCUGAUGAUGAGGAUGAACAAACUAAAUCUCAUUUGUAGUAGUUUAGGUAUAUGGUUUCGGUUGGUUGGUAAAUUUGAUUGUGAGAGACAAGUUUAGGUAUUUGGAUGUU